rnacentral:rRNA from 1 species
GACGAACGCUGGCGGCGUGCCUAAUACAUGCAAGUAGAACGCAGUUGCGAACGGGUGAGUAACUCGUAGGUAACUGCCUGGUAUCGGGGGAUAACUAUUGGAAACGAUAGCUAAUACCGCAUACUACCAGAUGGACCUGCGUUGUAUUAGCUAGUGGGUGGGUGAACGGCUCACCAAGGCAACGUUACAUAGCCGACCUGAGAGGGGGAUCGGCCAAACCGGGACGGGGACACGGCCCAGACUCCAACGGGAGGAAGAAGUGGGGAAUCUUCGGAAAUGGACGAAAGUCUGACCGAGAAACGCCGCGUGAGGGAAGAAGGUUUUCGGAUCUUAAGACUCUGUUGUUAGAGAAGCGGUAUCUAACCAGAAAGCCACGGCUAACUACGUGCCAGCAGCCGCGGUAAUAC